rnacentral:lncRNA from 1 species
CAGGCAUGCUCCUGGUCUAGAUAAGUGCUCAGCUCAAGUACUGCACCAGGAGGCUGCAAAGCCUGAAGAACCUGCACCCAGAAGCAGCAUGGUCCAGGGCUUCUAUAACAGUGAAGAAAGCUGAUGCUGGCACAGUAAGGCUGUUUGCAUACAUGGAUACACUCAUGAAUAAAAGAAAAUUGUGGAUCACCUAGCCACUAUUUUGAUUGAGACAUUCUGAGGAAUUAAUAGUGCAAUUCUACAAGGCAGUGGGAGAAAGACUAUAUAUAUAUAUGUGUAUAUAUAUACAUAUAUAUAUAUAUAUAUAUAUAUAUAUAGAGAGAGAGAGAGAGAGAGAGAGAGAGAGCUGUUCCCAGCAUCUUUCUGAUCCAGCCAGAACCUGGAAGCAACCUAGAUGCCUCUCAACUGAAGAAUGGAUAGAGAAAAUGUGGUACAUUUAUACAAUGGAGUACUACUCAGCAGAAAAAAAGCAAUGUAAACUUGAAAUUCAAAGGCAAAUGGAUGAAACUAGAAGAAACCAUCCUGAGUGAGGUAACCCAGUCACAAAUACAAACAUGAGCACUCAUCCAGUGGCUGGUGGAAGCAGAGGUAGACACCCACAGAUACACACUGAACUGAACUCUGGAACCCAGUUGCAGAGAGGGAGGAAUGAAGAUCAAAGGGGUUGGUACCAGGCUGGUGAAACCCACAGAAACAGCUGGCCUGAACAAAGGGGACCCCAGACUGCUGUCUGGGAGGCCAGCACAGGACUGAUGCAGACCCCUGAACAUGGAUGUCCAUCAGGAGGCCUUCCGAAAUCUAUGGGGCCCUGGGUAGAGGAUCAGUAUUUUCCCCUGGUGUAAGACUUUGAGAGCCCAUCCCAAAUGAAGGGAUGCUCUCUGGGCCUGGACACAUGGGGGAGGGUCUAGGCCCGGCCCAGGAUGAUGUGGUGGACUUUGGGGAUCCCCUGUCGAGGGCCC